UACGUAGGGGGCAAGCGUUGUCCGGAUUUAUUGGGCGUAAAGAGCGUGUAGGCGGCCAUACAGGUCCGUUGUGAAAACUGGAGGCUUAACCUCCAGACGUCGAUGGAAACCGUAUGGCUAGAGUCCGGAAGAGGAGAGUGGAAUUCCUGGUGUAGCGGUGAAAUGCGCAGAUAUCAGGAAGAACACCCGUGGCGAAAGCGGCUCUCUGGAACGGUACUGACGCUGAGGUGCGAAAGCGUGGGGAGCAAACAGG
rnacentral:rRNA from 1 species